ACCAGGUUCUUGCAAUAAUUUCAGGGAACUGGUGGUGUUGCAUGACUGUGGAGAAUAACUUGAAUGGAUUUGGUCUAUUACUCAAUGUAGGGUUACAGUGUAAUAGAAUUGGGGAGUGGCUAGAAAUUCCUGAUAAUGGAUAAUCAGCCGCUACUACUCCAUAUCUUUGCAAUCAGUGAUAAUUGGUCAUAGCCCAAUCUAUUUUGGAAUAUACUCUGUGAUUUUUCUCUUGCUUAUUCCAAAAGGAGUAAUAGCAGCCUCUAGAUCCUAAAGAAGUAAGUUACAGGGCAUCCAUAAAGUCCCUAAGUCUUGUGUUUCAAAAAAUUUAAUAGGAGAUCCUAAUCUAUCAUCAGGACUCAGUAUAACAUUAAAGUCUCCACUCAGGAUCCAAGGCUCCUGAAUGGUUACACUCAUUCCCCUCAAGGCAUUCCAUAAUGCAACUUUUCAGCAACUAU
rnacentral:lncRNA from 1 species